CCAUCUCCGAUCGCCGUAAUUUUCUCCUCCAACUGAUUCUAGGCACACCACCCAUCUCCAAUCGCCAUAAGGGCUUCGUUCUCACUCUUGAUGUUAGAUUUUGAAGAAGGUUAGUUUAGUUCUACUUUAUCUCUAUCUCUUCUCUUUAAUUUCAAAACCCUAACAUCUCUACCAACAACCUCUCUCUUCUCCACUUUUGGAAUUUUCAGAAUUUGAGUCCAAAAGUUUUUGAAUCUUUUUCAUGCACAAAAUUUCAAUUUUUGAUCUGGAUAUAUUAUCAAAACACUGUAUAUGUGUUAUACAAUCUGAAAAUUCCAAAAGUGAAAUAUAAUUGUUCUUUUUUUAAUAGUCAAUUAUAUUAGAACAACCAUUUUGUUGUUAUAAUGGAAGGUUUUACAAACAGUGUGUUUUCGGAGAGAUGGCUGAGAUUGGCAACAAAGCCCAUGCGAUCAUUAAUGAACCAAAGAGGUAGUCGACGACAAAUGGUGGCUUUGUUUUGGUGGUGGCAAUAGCAGCACCUUCUAGAGAUGGGUAGAUUGGAUGAAUUGCAGCACAUCAUAUGUGAGAUUGGGGUGUAAUGAGAAAUGGAAGAAAGAAAGGAGACAAAACUGUGAAAACAGAGGCAAAUAUGCAACAGAGGCAAAUGUAGAGUGAGGCAUGGCUGUGAAGAGCAUUUGGAGAGGAAUUUGAAUGUGCUGCCCUUUUCACUUACUAGAAGGAAGAUGAGUAAAUCUUUUUGCUAAAUUAGUGUUGAGCAUGAGAUCUUUCAAAUUAUUUUGGGUACCAAAAAAGGUUAAAAUCUAUCUCACUGAAAUAGGUAAAAUAUAUCUUGGGCAGCUCGGUUGCCAUUGUUCAUUCUGGCAGCUCAAUUCACUCCGAUCAUCAAGUAUCAAAAGGUUUCAUCAUUUUACCUCAUUUUGAUUUUUUAUUUAGGUAUGUGUUUGGGUUUGUAUUCAAGAAACUGAUGGGUUUGGAUUUGCACCUGUGUUUGUAAGAUUUGUUUUUCUAAACCUUAAAUUGAGAUGUGUUUCUAAGAUUUUUUGUUUAUGUUCUAUUUCUAUAA